UCGCCUUGCCGAGCUGGCCGACGUUGACCGCGUCGUUCGCGGCCACGCCGUCCGCGACGUUGUGCAGCGUCGUGCCGUUCGGGCCGGCGAACGUGACC
rnacentral:tRNA from 1 species